rnacentral:rRNA from 1 species
UACCUGCGGAGGGAUCAUUACCGAGUUUACAACUCCCAAACCCCUGUGAACAUACCACUUGUUGCCUCGGCGGAUCAGCCCGCUCCCGGUAAAACGGGACGGCCCGCCAGAGGACCCCUAAACUCUGUUUCUAUAUGUAACUUCUGAGUAAAACCAUAAAUAAAUCAAAACUUUCAACGACGGAUCUCUUGGUUCUGGCAUCGAUGAAGAACGCAGCAAAAUGCAAUAAGUAAUGUGAAUUGCAGAAUUCAGUGAAUCAUCGAAUCUUUGAACGCACAUUGCGCCCGCCAGUAUUCUGGCGGGCAUGCCUGUUCGAGCGUCAUUUCAACCCUCAAGCACAGCUUGGUGUUGGGACUCGCGUUAAUUCGCGUUCCUCAAAUUGAUUGGCGGUCACGUCGAGCUUCCAUAGCGUAGUAGUAAAACCCUCGUUACUGGUAAUCGUCGCGGCCACGCCGUUAAACCCCAACUUCUGAAUGUUGACCUCGGAUCAGGUAGGAAUACCCGCUGAACUUAAGCAUAUCAAUAAGCGGAGGA